GUAUUGUUUCGCGCUUCUACGCGCUGCGACAUUCUAAUUACUUGACAAAGAGUGUGUGUGAUAAAAAGCUCGCAAGCCUAAGACGCAUCCGAAUCAGAAGAAAUCCAUAUCAUCUGCGUCCCAAAGCUGCGGGGUGUGCACAGGUGUGAAGGGUGAGAUUUGCGAUCCAGGCGUGCACGUGCCAAGCGAGGCCAGCUACAACCCUUCUCGACAAACACUUCGUUAAUGAUCCUUCCGCAGGUUCACCUACGGAAA
rnacentral:misc_RNA from 1 species